ensembl:lincRNA Gm30340 predicted gene, 30340
GAGGGGAUGGAAGACACCAGGAGAACAAGGCCUUCUACAUCAACUUGAGCACAGUUCAUAUGAACCCAGAGACUGAAAGAGCAAGCACAGGGCCUGCGAAGGUCCACUAUGAUUGAGAAAAUAUUAACCAGACUGUAUGGCCUGAACGUGGCUUUGAUGUCCUCAUUCUUCCUUUCUGAAGAGAAAGGCAUUUGUACCACAGGAACCUGACAGCAAUUGUUCUGAUUCAUGGCUUAGGAGGAGCAGCUGAUUAAUCCCUUGUCAGCAGUCUUGACCCGGUGUGGAAAAUAGAAUCUUCGAAGGCCUACUCACCAAUAUAUCAGGAGCAAGGCAGCAUGGCUUACAUCGCUCUUAAAUUCAAGGAAAGUUUAAGACAAUGCCAAGCAGCAAUCCUGGUCUCAGAAAUGCUUUAUAGGAACAUUUGGACACAGAACAGGAACAUACCAGGGAGAAGAGUUGAACAAUUGUGGCUUUCUUCCCUGGAAUAAAAAUCUUAUAUUUUCGGUCCUCCACAAAAUACUUUUUAAAAAAAAAUCACUAUUUUCUUUAUCAUAACUAUUGUGGUCUGUGUUUUGAUAUGAUAUAACAUGUUUUGGGAAUUUUAAAUCAUUCCAUUUCCUUCCCUCUUCAAUGAGUAUAGACACUAUGAACAUAGAACUCUAAUUUGUACAUUGUAUAAAAUAAUUGCAAAUAACUUCUAUUUCUAGAAUCAUCUUUAUGUGACACAUUCAGCUGUGAAGAAUAUGCAUACUAUAUAGUUUAAAACAGGAAUGUUUCUACUGAAAACCAUUUUAGUUCUUGAAAUGACAAAAGCCUUAAACUGAACACAUUGCUACUUUUAAUCAAGAAAAAAAUAACUUAGUAAUAUAAAAUGUGGUCUCGGAACAUAUGAUUAAAGUACAGAGAUGAAGUGGGAUAAUGUCCCCCCCUUUUUUUUCCAAAGAGGACCAUGUACAUGAAUCCAAUAUUUAUGAAUUUUAUUUACAACCACAAAGCAGACUGAAAAUCUGUCAAAUGAUGUGAAAUCCUAAAAGAUGCAGGGUGUUAAGAGAUGGUGGCCACCAAAGACAAAUCAAGUCUCAAAAUUAAAACUAUGCACAACUAAUAAGCAUACACAUGAAAGAUGAGAGAGAGAGAGAGAGAGAGAGAGAGAGAGAGAGAGCAUAAGAGACCCAUCUAUGAUAACCAGAGGAAGCUGAAAUGUGUUGAAGCCUUUCCCUUGUAAACUGCAUAAUAGCACUUUCAAUGUUCCCUUUCUGUCAUCCCCUGUAACCAUCAAGUUCGGGUUCUGCUGCUGCAGUCAGGUGCACGGGCACGGAGCUCUUACGGUUGGCUGCAUAGAAUUCUGAGGAAAGCCACAUCUGUACCAUUUUUUUUCUCUUGGACAGUAAUAAAUAACAAUUUGUGUUCAUUUAGAUUUUUUUCCCUGAGUAUAUUUACAGCAAGUUAUUCAGUUUUUUUUUUUUUCUUAUCCUCUUAAAGCAUAGGUUUAAUUUUGAGUGCAUCUUUCAUUGUGAGAGUGUAAACCUUUGAUCGAGUGGCAUUUGCAUUUCAUUAUAGGGAAGUGCUUUACAUUGUCUUCAUAUGCACCACCCAAUUCCAUGUAUCAUCUUGGUUUGUGCUAGUCACUGUUUAAAACACUGGCUAUUAAGUGUGGCUUUGUGGACAGAAUCUGUAUGUUCUGUGCAGUACAAAACAGAAAAGAACAAGGAAAAAUUCAAAAUGAAUAGGUCAUUUGAAAGAAAUAUAGUAAGUUUUCAUGUGAUUGUUUUCAAUAUAGUAUUCUCGGCAAAAGAAUGCAAGUCAUCAUCUAAAACGUAACAUGUUCAGAUUGGCCGUAUCUCAUCAUUUAUUUCUUUUGUAAAAGAGCAAAUGGGAUGUAUUUUUAGGUGUUUCUUUGUGCAAGUUCCUAGCAAAUCCUGUUGGGAUAGCAUUAGAAAUAAUAAUGAAAUGAGCUGUAGGUAAUGGUAUAACUCUUGGAAAGUUUUUAAAUGUGAGGCUGUGAAAAUGUGUCCUUUGAAGGAUCAGCAAGCCUGUGGCAUUGUCUGUGAAAAUGGAAAGAAUUGAUAAGGCUUCUGUGCUUUUGAUCUUUAUCAGGUUUGCAAUGAUUCCUAUUUUAUAAGGUGACAUAUUUUUAGCCUUGUUGCAGGGAGAAAUGUUCUGUUUUUCCUCAGAAAGCUGGCAGAAAACCAUUUUCCG